UGGUUCUGGCAUCGAUGAAGAACGCAGCGAAAUGCGAUAAGUAAUGCGAAUUGCAGAAUUCAGUGAGUCAUCGAAUCUUUGAACGCACAUUGCGCCCUUUAGUAUUCUAGAGGGCAUGCCUGUUCGAGCGUCAUUAUCACCUAUCAAGCCUGGCUUGCUGUUGGGCCUUCGCCGUUAAAGAACGUGGCGAGCCCCAAAGAUAAUGGCGGUGUCAAUUCGACCCUCGGUGCAACGAGCUUUUCACGAGGCACGCAUCAGAGUUGGACGAUUGGCCCGGCCGGUUACACCCCAAUUUUAACAAGGUUGACCUCGGAUCAGGUAGGAAUACCCGCUGA
rnacentral:misc_RNA from 1 species